GAUGAACGCUGGCGGCGUGCCUAAUACAUGCAAGUCGAGCGAACAGACGAGGAGCUUGCUCCUUUGACGUUAGCGGCGGACGGGUGAGUAACACGUGGGUAACCUACCUAUAAGACUGGGAUAACUUCGGGAAACCGGAGCUAAUACCGGAUAAUAUUUCGAACCGCAUGGUUCGAUAGUGAAAGAUGGCUUUGCUAUCACUUAUAGAUGGACCUGCGCCGUAUUAGCUAGUUGGUAAGGUAACGGCUUACCAAGGCAACGAUACGUAGCCGACCUGAGAGGGUGAUCGGCCACACUGGAACUUAGACACGGUCCAGACUCCUACGGGAGGCAGCAGUAGGGAAUCUUCCGCAAUGGGCGAAAGCCUGACGGAGCAACGCCGCGUGAGUGAUGAAGGUCUUCGGAUCGUAAAACUCUGUUAUUAGGGAAGAACAAACGUGUAAGUAACUGUGCACGUCUUGACGGUACCUAAUCAGAAAGCCACGGCUAACUACGUG
rnacentral:rRNA from 1 species